rnacentral:rRNA from 1 species
AACGAACGUUGGCGGCGUGGAUUAGGCAUGCAAGUCGAACGAAUCCCUAGGGGCUUGCUCCUAGGGGGAAGUGGCGAAAGGGGCAGUAAGGCGUGGGUAACCUCCCUCGGGGACCGGGAUAGCCUUCCUAACGGAAGGGUAAUACCGGGCGAUGUAGCGAUGAGGCAUCUUGUUGCUAUGAGAUGAAUUUCGCCUCGAGACGGGCCCACGUGGUAUUAGCUAGUUGGUAGGGUGAUGGCCUACCAAGGCGAAGAUGCCUAGCGGGUGUGAGAGCACGACCCGCGCCACUGGCACUGCGACACUGGCCAGACUCCUACGGGAGGCUGCAGUCGAGGAUCUUCGGCAAUGGGCGCAAGCCUGACCGAGCGACGCCGCGUGCGCGAUGAAGGCCUUCGGGUUGUAAAGCGCUGUCGAGGGGGAGGAAAGCCCGCAAGGGCCUGACCUAUCCCUGGAGGAAGCACGGGCUAAGUUCGUGCCAGCAGCCGCAGUAACAC